rnacentral:rRNA from 1 species
AGUAAUAUAUCGGAACGUGCCCAGUCGUGGGGGAUAACGCAGCGAAAGCUGUGCUAAUACCGCAUACGAUCUCUGGAUGAAAGCGGGGGACUCGCAAGAGCCUCGCGCGAUUGGAGCGGCCGAUAUCAGAUUAGCUAGUUGGUGGGGUAAAAGCCCACCAAGGCGACGAUCUGUAGCUGGUCUGAGAGGACGACCAGCCACACUGGAACUGAGACACGGUCCAGACUCCUACGGGAGGCAGCAGUGGGGAAUUUUGGACAAUGGGCGCAAGCCUGAUCCAGCAAUGCCGCGUGCAGGAUGAAGGCCUUCGGGUUGUAAACUGCUUUUGUACGGAACGAAACGGCUCUUUCUAAUAAAGAGGGCUAAUGACGGUACCGUAAGAAUAAGCACCGGCUAACUACGUGCCAGCAGCCGCGGUAAUACGUAGGGUGCGAGCGUUAAUCGGAAUUACUGGGCGUAAAGCGUGCGCAGGCGGUUAUAUAAGACAGAUGUGAAAUCCCCGGGCUCAACCUGGGACCUGCAUUUGUGACUGUAUAGCUAGAGUACGGUAGAGGGGGAUGGAAUUCCGCGUGUAGCAGUGAAAUGCGUAGAUAUGCGGAGGAACACCGAUGGCGAAGGCAAUCCCCUGGACCUGUACUGACGCUCAUGCACGAAAGCGUGGGGAGCAAACAGGAUUAGAUACCCUGGUAGUCCACGCCCUAAACGAUGUCAACUGGUUGUUGGGUCUUUACUGACUC